CCUACGGGAGGCUGCAGUGGGGAAUAUUGGACAAUGGGCGAAAGCCUGAUCCAGCCAUGCCGCGUGUGUGAAGAAGGCCUUCGGGUUGUAAAGCACUUUCAGUGGGGAAGAAAGCCUUGGGGCUAAUACCCUCGAGGAAGGACAUCACCCACAGAAGAAGCACCGGCUAACUCCGUGCCAGCAGCCGCGGUAAUACGGAGGGUGCGAGCGUUAAUCGGAAUUACUGGGCGUAAAGCGCGCGUAGGCGGUCUGAUAAGCCGGUUGUGAAAGCCCCGGGCUCAACCUGGGAACGGCAUCCGGAACUGUCAGGCUAGAGUGCAGGAGAGGAAGGUAGAAUUCCCAGUGUAGCAGUGAAAUGCGUAGAGAUCGGGAGGAAUACCAGUGGCGAAGGCGGCCUUCUGGACUGACACUGACGCUGAGGUGCGAAAGCGUGGGUAGCAAACAGGAUUAGAUACCCCUGUAGUC
rnacentral:rRNA from 1 species